AUUGGGAUUGCUGGGUCAUAUGGUCAGUGUGUGUUUGACUUUUUAAGAAACGGGCACACUGUUUUUCAGAGUGGCUGUACCAGUUUGCAUUCCCACCAACAAU
rnacentral:pre_miRNA from 1 species